rnacentral:rRNA from 1 species
AUUGAACGCUGGCGGCCGGCCUAACACAUGCCAGUCGAGCGGAGCGGCGGACGGGUGAGUAAUGCCUAGGACUCUGCCUGGUAGUGGGGGAUAACGUCCGGAAACGGGCGCUAAUACCGCAUACUAUCAGAUGAGCCUCGGUCGGAUUAGCUAGUUGGUGGGGUAAAGGCCUACCAAGGCGACCAUCCGUAACUAGUCUGAGAGGAUGAUCAGUCCCACUGGAACUGAGAAACGGUCCAGACUCCUACGGGAGGCAGCAGGUGGGAAUAUUGGACAAUGGGCGAAAGCCUGAUCCAACCAUGCCGCGUGUGUGAAGAAGGUCUUCGGAUUGUAAAGCACUUUAAGUUGGGAGGCGUUACCAACAGAAUAAGCACCUGCUAACUUCGUGCCAGCAGCCGCGGUAAUUC